UGCUAGUUCCAUGAGAAUCAGUUGACCAUUUGAAUUAGUUGACUGUUUCAUACAGGUCGGUGAUAUUCACGUGUCCAAGGCGAUAUCCUUUGCGUCGAUUUGGAAGUGUCUGACGUAGAGCCAGCCUCACCGCGCUAAUCCAAAACGUUCUUUCGCCUGAGGACAUGGUGUUCUUGCAGUCAUGCCUUGCGUUCCAUGAUAUUUCACCGCAAGCUCCUAUGGUUUUUCCCAGCCGAGUGCGAGAAGGCCGUUGUCAGGUUAUCCGAAGCAGGAGAUUUUGGCGCACCUCUUCAUAGGCGUUUGAUGAUUGUUGGCGAGAAGUGUGCUGCUAACCUGGGCCUGACAGAUGGAUUCCGGAUGGCUGUGAGAUACCCACCCUCAGGCCCCUCAGACUAAAGUAUGCUUCUCCAUAUUCUUGGUGGCCUUCAGUUGGGCCAGCCUCCUGGCUAAGAUGUUUGCACCGCAGG